rnacentral:sRNA from 1 species
CAAGGGAAAAAAGGCCGGAACUUCGACGCAGGCUUGCCUGCAGGAGAAGUUUUGACCUUUUGGCCCGCCAAAAGCAUGAGUAAGUAGCCAUUUUUCGAAGAAAAAUGAGCGGAUUACGAAUGCUUUUGAAGGUUGCGGGAGCACGCAGUGCGGAGCAACCUGG